rnacentral:rRNA from 1 species
AGUUUGAUCCUGGCUCAGGACGAACGCUGGCGGCGUGCCUAAUACAUGCAAGUCGAGCGGACAGAUGGGAGCUUGCUCCCUGAUGUUAGCGGCGGACGGGUGAGUAACACGUGGGUAACCUGCCUGUAAGACUGGGAUAACUCCGGGAAACCGGGGCUAAUACCGGAUGGUUGUUUGAACCGCAUGGUUCAAACAUAAAAGGUGGCUUCGGCUACCACUUACAGAUGGACCCGCGGCGCAUUAGCUAGUUGGUGAGGUAAYGGCUCACCAAGGCAACGAUGCGUAGCCGACCUGAGAGGGUGAUCGGCCACACUGGGACUGAGACACGGCCCAGACUCCUACGGGAGGCAGCAGUAGGGAAUCUUCCGCAAUGGACGAAAGUCUGACGGAGCAACGCCGCGUGAGUGAUGAAGGUUUUCGGAUCGUAAAGCUCUGUUGUUAGGGAAGAACAAGUACCGUUCGAAYAGGGCGGUACCUUGACGGUACCUAACCAGAAAGCCACGGCUAACUACGUGCCAGCAGCCGCGGUAAUACGUAGGUGGCAAGCGUUGUCCGGAAUUAUUGGGCGUAAAGGGCUCGCAGGCGGUUUCUUAAGUCUGAUGUGAAAGCCCCCGGCUCAACCGGGGAGGGUCAUUGGAAACUGGGGAACUUGAGUGCAGAAGAGGAGAGUGGAAUUCCACGUGUAGCGGUGAAAUGCGUAGAGAUGUGGAGGAACACCAGUGGCGAAGGCGACUCUCUGGUCUGUAACUGACGCUGAGGAGCGAAAGCGUGGGGAGCGAACAGGAUUAGAUACCCUGGUAGUCC